CAGGGGUUGCUUGCAAUCCGCUGACGACCGGCGCACGGGUGCGUAACGCGCAUACAAUCUACCUUUUGCUGAGGAAUAGCCCAGAGAAAUUUGGAUUAAUACCGCAUAGUAUAUAAGAUCGGCAUCGUUUUUAUAUUAAAGGUUACGGCAAAAGAUGAGUAUGCGUCCUAUUAGCUAGAUGGUGUGGUAACGGCACACCAUGGCGACGAUAGGUAGGGGCCCUGAGAGGGGGGUCCCCCACACUGGUACUGAGACACGGACCAGACUCCUACGGGAGGCAGCAGUGAGGAAUAUUGGGCAAUGGAGGCAACUCUGACCCAGCCAUGCCGCGUGCAGGAAGACUGCCCUAUGGGUUGUAAACUGCUUUUAUACGGGAAGAAACACCGCUACGUGUAGCGGCUUGACGGUACCGUAAGAAUAAGGAUCGGCUAACUCCGUGCCAGCAGCCGCGGUAAUACGGAGGAUCCAAGCGUUAUCCGGAAUCAUUGGGUUUAAAGGGUCCGUAGGUGGAUAAUUAAGUCAGAGGUGAAAUCCUGCAGCUCAACUGUAGAAUUGCCUUUGAUACUGGUUGUCUUGAGUCAUUGUGAAGUAGUUAGAAUAUGUAGUGUAGCGGUGAAAUGCAUAGAUAUUACAUAGAAUACCGAUUGCGAAGGCAGAUUACUAACAAUGUACUGACACUGAUGGACGAAAGCGUGGGGAGCGAACAGGAUUAGAUACCCUGGUAGUCCACGCCGUAAACGAUGGUCACUAGCUGUUCGGACUUCGGUCUGAGUGGCUAAGCGAAAGUGAUAAGUGACCCAC
rnacentral:rRNA from 1 species